rnacentral:tRNA from 1 species
GGUUGUGGCUCAGAGGUAGAGCGCUUGCCUAGCAUGCAUGAGGCACUGGGUUCAAUUCUCAGCACCA